CGACCUCAAGUCUGGCGGGGCUACCCACUGACUUUAAGCAUAUCAAUAAGCGGAGG
rnacentral:rRNA from 1 species